AAGACUAUACUUUCAGGGAUCAUUUCUAUAUGUUACUAGAGAAGUUACUCUGAUUGUGUAGAGCACCGGAAACCAUGAGGAGGAGCAAGAGCAUUCUCUCCCGAGCGUGAAGCUGGCUCUAGAUGUUGCUUCUGCCGCUGCCUUUUGCCAUUGAUGAUUGUUCUUUCCUUCCUUUGGAGUUGGUAGAGGAAGAGGAUGCAAUCUGAGUAGU